CUGCUCUGCCCUAUUACAUGGAUCAGUGGGUAGAUGGAAUAGGGCUCCGAGUGUCAGGUCAGCAUGUCAGUUCCCUCAGACAGUCGAGCCGCUGGCUGUACAGUCUGUGAGCAGGAUGGUCUUGCGAUACCCUGCUUGGGUGUAUAGAGUCCUGGCUAGGUAGAGUAGGAAACAGUGUCUAGGGUUUAGAGGUUCUUGGCUUUCCUUGUGAGCGAUCCCUGAAUGUUUGAGAGCUGAGUGUUUGAGCUUUUGCCCAUUUCAUUUGCAGGGGCGGUCUUGGGAGCAGCUGAAGAGAGAGGAGCCUUGUAGGUAUCCCGGAAGGUGAGAGCCCCAGUGUCUGACUCCGGUCAGGGCCUCGGUGCUGUUGACUUGGAGUAACCUCGUGAUCGCAGGAACCACUUCACGAUGGGGCAACUGACCCAGAUUGGUCGUCUUGAGCUGUCCUCAUCUGCAAUCUCCGAGUAUUAAAAUGAUUAGCAAAGAGGCACUGAGCUUUAGUGAUGGCAGGUGCCAUCCGGGUAACUUUUGGGAGUGUCCGGGUAUUGGAGAUGAGUCGGGUAGGCAGCAUGAGAAGCGGGGAUGAACUGCAGCUUUAGAAAUGCCCACUAAUUUUUUCUUUCUUAUAUUUCUCUUAGGCUCUUCUCCUUAUUUUUAUUCUCUUAGUCUC